rnacentral:RNase_P_RNA from 1 species
GCUUCGGCAAUCGCAGAUGAAUGAAAAGAGGAAGGAAAGUCUGGACAACGUAGAGUACCACAUCAUCUAACGGAUGAGGUUUUGUCUCAAGCAAUUGGGGCAAAAUACAGAGAGUGUCGCAGAAAAUAACCGCCCUGACUUCGGUCGGGGUAAGGGUGAAAACGUGCGGUAAGAGCGCACGACGUUCCGAUGCAAAUCGGAAGGUGGAUAAACCUUGUGGGUUGAAAUGCCACAUACAUUUCAGUUUCCUUUGGGAAGUGGAGUUACUCGCUCCAUUGUUUUUUUUCGCUCCUUCCUCGGGAGGAGUUGAACAAAAAAACAGCAGGAAGGGGUGGGCAGAUAGACCUUGAUAGUGAUAUCAAGGCUAGAUAAAUGAUAGAGGUUCUUCUUCGGAAGAAUUACAGAAUCCGGCUUAUAGGUUUGCAGCUUUU